UGCGAAACUGAGUGAAUAAAAAACAAAAACGGUUUGACAGCAGUUAGUGCAGCACUGGGGUUGAAACUGAACAAAAACGAAUUCUCUAUAAUGGAAGCGAAGCGAUACGGAGCUUAAAAUAGUAGAAAUCCAUAGCAACGGUUUGACGCAACCAUCGCAACCAACAGCAGCAAUGGAUCUCCUCUCGAUCGAUUCGUUUUUCCAGGAAACGAUGGAUAUCAGUUGGGCCAAUCGUGCCGUCAGCAGCGAGGAAACCAACAACAACCGUUUUACACUGAGCAAUCAACAGCUACCGAUUCGGACAACAUCGACUCGGAUGGAAGUAACAGCAACACCGCAAAUUGUCGGUGUUAUUCCAUAUACUGUCUGCAGCAAAAACUCCACUAGCUGAUGAACGAUAUGCUAUUGGUAUUGGUAUUGGUAUUGGACAAUCGAUAAUAAUCACAUCCAAUGUGCAGCGGUUCGAAGCUAACAUGUAGCUGAGUGGAGAAUUUCUUAUCAAAUUUAAAGAACAAGUAUUACCAAUUUUGAUCCACAAUAAUCAAUCCGCAUGUGACUGAACUGAAUGAUUUUUUCACUAUGCAGCUUCCAUUUGGGAUUUCCAGUAAAAAUAGGUAAAUUCUCAAUUAUUUUUAAAAUAUUUGGCACUAUGUUACGCAAUUCGUUCUAUUUUAUAAAAAUACCGCUAUUCCAUGUGUUGAACGCGGUUAUCAUAUUUGGCAACGUAUUCGAAUAAGAGACACCCGUGACCAGUGUGAGCCACAUCAAAGAAAGCGAAGAGUUCUGUUUGACAUUUGUGCCUACCAAUUUUUUUUUCGUAGGAUGUACCAAUGAAAAUAAAAAAGGGUAGAAAAUAACUAGAAUUGGUAAUAUUUACCAAAAAAUUGGUCAUAUAUACUAAAUUUUCCUCUCAGUGUAAUGCUUCU